CUGCAGCCAGUUAAGCUGACUGUGCUCUUUCCCCAUAGGGGCCCAGUGCACAAUGGCUGCAAACAGGAACCUCCUUGGUAGUAUACGCAGCCCAUUGCCCUAAGGAUUGCCCUAAGGAACCUUGGACACAGCC
rnacentral:snoRNA from 1 species